rnacentral:lncRNA from 1 species
AGUGGCCGCUGCUGACCCCGGUUCAGGUUGUGGCCCUGCAGCUCACCAGGGCAACUCGAGACUGCCGACCUCCACAGCCCCAGCGUCCUUAUCUGCAAUAUGGGGCUAAGACGAUUUACCUUAUCAGGCACAUGGUAAACGUUUCAUACGUUAUAGCUGUUUAUUGCCAUCAUCUCCAUUUUAUAGAUGAAUAAACUGAAGCUGGGUUGUAAGUAGCUGUAGAUAUUUACACUCAGGUCUGCUGGGCAGUCCAGGCUCUUUCCUUCACCACACCACCUCCAGGCAGCCAGCCCUUGGCUAGGGGAGUGUGUGCCAUGGGGGGCUCUGGCAGAGGCUGUGGAUCCCCCCUGGGGGCUGGGGGGUGGGGAGAGCACCUGUGGCCAUUAGGAACAGCUUUUACGAGCCUGUUCCACCAACUGGCUCCCUCCCCCAGGUCUGCAGCACAUUGAAGCUCUUCCUGUUUGCUCCCAAGCAGAUGGUGCUGGAAUCUCUCUACACCGACUCCCAUUCAUAAAUCACAGUGGUUCCCCUGGUGCCAGAGCGACCAUUCUAAUUACAGUGGGGGAGGUGUGUGUGCAAGUGUGUGUGAGUGAGCGUGAGUGUGUGUGAAGAGACAUAGAGACUGCUGGCCAGGAGAUGCCACCUCUUUCCACUGGGGACACAGCCUCUCCCCUCACCAGCCCUCACAGCCCACCCUGUUUUACUGAGGGAGCCCGGGGGCUCUAGGCCUGAGGAGGGAGGCCCUGGUGGGAGUGUUUCCUGUGUCAGGUGGCAACCCCCCAGAAGGGACCCCGGGACCAGGCAGCCCUUCUCAACCCCACGCUUUCUGGCCUCGGGUGCUCGGCAUUGUGGUGGGGGAGGCGAGAGACUCCUGGAAAUGUGAUUCUGCCUAGGACCCUUCUCCAGGGGGAAGCUUCUAGAAAGAGGGAGACAAGAAGGAAAAGUCAAAGUCAAUACCAAGAUCUGCUCAGGAGCUGGGAGCCCCGACUGAGCCCAGCAUGGCCAGGCCUGUGAGUGCAGGGUCCCCAUGGUCUGAGAUGUGAAGCUUUUCUUCCAGCCUCUCCGCCUCUGCUGUUUGACUGCUGGGAAGGAGAAAAGCAAGCAGCCUGAGGAAGAAAGUGCUCAGGAGAGAUUUAGAGGUGAAAAAAGUUCAAAGAGACAAGGAAAGAGAAAAAUCAAAGAGAGGAAA